rnacentral:rRNA from 1 species
ACGCUGGCGGCGUGCUUAACGCAUGCAGUCGAACGGUGACAUCAGAGCUUGCUCUGGUUGAUCAGUGGCGAACGGGUGAGUAACACGUGAGUAACCUGCCCUUGACUCUGGGAUAACUCCGGGAAACCGGGGCUAAUACCGGAUACGAGACGCGACCGCAUGGUCGGCGUCUGGAAAGUUUUUCGGUCAAGGAUGGACUCGCGGCCUAUCAGCUUGUUGGUGAGGUAAUGGCUCACCAAGGCGUCGACGGGUAGCCGGCCUGAGAGGGCGACCGGCCACACUGGGACUGAGACACGGCCCAGACUCCUACGGGAGGCAGCAGUGGGGAAUAUUGCACAAUGGGCGAAAGCCUGAUGCCGCGACGCCGCGUGAGGGAUGAAGGCCUUCGGGUUGUAAACCUCUUUCAGUAGGGAAGAAGCGAAAGUGACGGUACCUGCAGAAGAAGCGCCGGCUAACUACGUGCCAGCAGCCGCGGUAAUACGUAGGGGCGCAAGCGUUGUCCGGAAUUAUUGGGCGUAAAGAGCUCGUAGGCGGUUUGUCGCGUCUGGUGUGAAAACUCAAGGCUCAACCUUGAGCUUGCAUCGGGUACGGG